AGAUGGGUAGCGCAAUGGUAGAGCACUGGUCUCCAAAACCAGCGGUUGUAGGUUCAACUCCUAUCCCAUCUG
rnacentral:tRNA from 1 species